GCCGGAGGCUCGGGCGCGGGGGCCUGGAGCGGUUGUUAGCAGCUGCAGCGGCGGCAGCGGGAGCCCUCCCGGGUCCUGUUUUCUCGGAGAAUUCUGCAGCCCGCGACUCAAGGCAAUUCGGUUCCACCCGAAACCUCAGCUCCAAAUGCCUUGUUUUAGAAGCUGGGGCUUUGGAGGUUCUGAGGACCGUUCCUGGGGAGGCGGGUGACAGUCUGUGAGGUUCUCGCGGCCCCUCUGUUUCCUGCACAGUUACCGAGGGAGAGAGUGCUAGAAAUGGCUUUGCUGCCGAAUGCAUUAUCUUGCCAUUUUCGUAUCCCGAUACAGCACGCACGAUCGCCUGAUCGAUCGGAAAUAGGAGGGAAAGGUAGAGUGGAAAUUGAUUUCUUGCAGAGACUCAGGCGCCGAAUGAUAGAGGGAAUAAACAUUUGCCCUGGAUAAAAAUGUUCUUGGCUGUGUUCCAGCCCUAAUAAGGACCUAGAGCAGAAGUUUUUCUUCAGUGAUCUAAUUUUACCCAAAAGCUCAUUUCUGUGUUAUGUCUCUGUUUUACGCAGGCUGACAAAUGUUGGUAGGGGGAUGGAUACCCCGAAUUAAAUUUGUUACAAACUCAACCUUAACAGUUGUGAUGUAUUAGACAGCAUAUUUUUCGUGUAAGAUUUAAUAUGCUGCUAAACUUACUUACCUAAAUUGUGAUUCAAAGAAAUACAAUUGUUUCUUGAGGACCCAACUUGACUUAAGUUAGAAAGUAUAAUAUUAAAAUUUUUAUUUUAUAUGUAAAAUAAAUGCAAGAUUGAUGUUCUUUUAAAUAUUUGGAGAAUAAAAAGUACAGGAUUAAAAAUAUUAAUUCUGUGACCCAUGUUUCCUUAACUUUAACAUAGUUAAUAGCACUUAAAGUUUAUUAAACUAGCUAAGUCUUUGAGCAUUAUACUAAAUCAUAUGAUUAAGUGUGAUGAACCUCAAAAUAGAGCCAUAGGCUUUUACAUCUGUUAGCUAGCUUGUACCUGGUUUGUACUUAGAUCUGUCUCAAAAGUUAUACAUUAUAAGUUUAUACUCAGCAUGUCUUUUCCUGGAUCAUCUCAAUGCACAUCUACAAUGGGUAUCUAAGCACAUUUUAUAUUACUGGUAAUGUUUUUAUUUGCUACCCUGGCUCCUUCUUUUUAGUGGUAUAGGUACCACAUGAUAUAUUUGUUAACUAUUAAUCCACAAAAAUGUCUAAUCUAAAAGCAAUAUUCAAGGUAUAUUGUAUUGGGGAAAUUGUGAGUCAGUUUGCUUUGUCAAUAAAAAUGUCAAUAUGCUUCA